CUCCGGUUGAUCCUGCCGGACCCGACUGCUAUCAGAGUGGGACUAAGCCAUGCGAGUCAACGUAGCAAUACGUGGCAUACGGCUCAGUAACACGUAGUCAACAUGCCCAGGGGACGAGGAUAACCUCGGGAAACUGAGGAUAAACCUCGAUAGGCCAUGAUUUCUGGAAUGAUUCUUGGCUCAAACCUAUAUGGCCCCUGGAUUGGACUGCGGCCGAUCAGGCUGUUGGUGAGGUAAUGGCCCACCAAACCUAUUACCGGUACGGGCUCUGAGAGGAGGAGCCCGGAGAUGGGCACUGAGACAAGGGCCCAGGCCCUAUGGGGCGCAGCAGGCGCGAAACCUCUGCAAUAGGCGAAAGCUUGACAGGGUUACUCUGAGUGAUUUCCGCUAAGGGAAUCUUUUGGCACCUCUAAAAAUGGUGCAGAAUAAGGGGUGGGCAAGUCUGGUGUCAGCCGCCGCGGUAAUACCAGCACCCCGAGUGGUCGGGACGAUUAUUGGGCCUAAAGCAUCCGUAGCCGGUCCUGCAAGUCUUCCGUUAAAUCCAGCUGCUCAACAGAUGGGCUGCGGGAGAUACUACAGGGCUAGGAGGCGGGAGAGGCAAGCGGUACUUUAUGGGUAGGGGUAAAAUCCGCUGAUCCAUAGAAGACCACCAGUGGCGAAGGCGGCUUGCCAGAACGCGCUCGACGGUGAGGGAUGAAAGCUGGGGGAGCAAACCGGAUUAGAUACCCGGGUAGUCCCAGCUGUAAACGAUGCAGACUCGGUGAUGGGUUGGCUUCGAGCCAACCCAGUGCCGCAGGGAAGCCGUUAAGUCUGCCGCCUGGGGAGUACGGUCGCAAGACUGAAACUUAAAGGAAUUGGCGGGGGAGCAC
rnacentral:rRNA from 1 species